AGAACUGAGAAAUUGUAAAAGCAAUCCUUCGCAAUUGUACUUCCUGUUCGGCCGCAAGAAAUAAUAAUAAAAAGCGUCAUUGAUCGUGAACCACAAGCAUCGUUACAGAUAAAGACCUCUUGUUAGAUUACUUUGAUCUGGAUAACGCGUGGAACUUCAGAAAGAAAUUAUCAACGCUAACGCAAGAGUGGAAAGAGACAGGAGUAAUAUCGCAAUGGAAAUCACUCGGUACACACUUCCUCGAAUCUCGAUCGGUAAACAUUCAAACAUGCGAACGCGCAAAAAUAAUGGCCUUAUAUCGAAGAAACAUGGUCGAUCGUGAUAAGCGUACAAAGUACGGAUAGUCGACGAUUCGAUACAAACACCAACGGACAAACCGUUUAAAUCAAUAUUAACAUAUAUUUAAUAUUAUUGUGGAAAAACAAUCAAACUCGACAGUGAUACACAACUAUACGAACCUGUUCUUUUUAUCGACAGUACCAAUGUUUAAAUACACGACUCGAUGUGUACCGGUUAAUUUAAAAAAUAGUUUUUUCUCCGUGAUACGAUUUAUUAUAAUUGCUAAUUUAAUAUAGAUGAUGUUGCACUUUUUAAACCAUGCGAAAUAAAUCAAACGUGAAAAA